rnacentral:rRNA from 1 species
CAGUCGCCGCGGGAAUACAAAGGGUGCGAGCGUUAAUCGGAUUUACUGGGCGUAAAGCGUGCGUAGGCGGCUUCUUAAGUCGGAUGUGAAAUCCCUGAGCUUAACUUAGGAAUUGCAUUCGAUACUGGGAAGCUAGAGUAUGGGAGAGGAUGGUAGAAUUCCAGGUGUAGCGGUGAAAUGCGUAGAGAUCUGGAGGAAUACCGAUGGCGAAGGCAGCCAUCUGGCCUAAUACUGACGCUGAGGUACGAAAGCAUGGGGAGCAAACAGGAUUAGAUACCCCUGUAGUCCCUGUCUCUUAUAC